UACGGGGGGAGCAAGCGUUGUUCGGAUUUACUGGGCGUAAAGGGCGCGUAGGCGGUCAGCACAAGUCAGUUGUGAAAUCUCCGGGCUUAACUCGGAAAGGUCAACUGAUACUGUGCGACUAGAGUGCGGAAGGGGCAACUGGAAUUCUCGGUGUAGCGGUGAAAUGCGUAGAUAUCGAGAGGAACACCUGCGGCGAAGGCGGCGUCCUGGACCAACACUGACACUGAGGAGCGAAAGCCAGGGGAGCAAACGGG
rnacentral:rRNA from 1 species